GACGAACGCUGGCGGCGCGCCUAACGCAUGCAAGUCGAACGAGAGAUGAGGAGCUUGCUCUUCAAAUCGAGUGGCGAACGGGUGAGUAACGCGUGAGGAACCUGCCUCAAAGAGGGGGACAACAGUUGGAAACGACUGCUAAUACCGCAUAAGCCCACGGCUCGGCAUCGAGCAGAGGGAAAAGGAGCAAUCCGCUUUGAGAUGGCCUCGCGUCCGAUUAGCUAGUUGGUGAGGUAACGGCCCACCAAGGCGACGAUCGGUAGCCGGACUGAGAGGUUGAACGGCCACAUUGGGACUGAGACACGGCCCAGACUCCUACGGGAGGCAGCAGUGGGGAAUAUUGCACAAUGGGGGAAACCCUGAUGCAGCGACGCCGCGUGGAGGAAGAAGGUCUUCGGAUUGUAAACUCCUGUUGUUGAGGAAGAUAAUGACGGUACUCA
rnacentral:rRNA from 1 species